AGAGAGGUGCCCUUGCUCCUGCGCCCUGGGAAGGGAACGAUACCGUUAAGGAAGCCUACAAACUGGCACCUGCGCGCGCGGCUCUCGGUGCCCCCGCGAACCCGAGGGCCAGAGCGGGCAGGGGCGGGCAGGGCGCCCACCCGACUGGGAGGACCGAGGCUGGGCUGCCGUCCUGCGGGCGGGCCCCGGGGAGCCGGCUGCCCCGCGGUCCCGGAAGGUCUGGGCGGCGGAGUUCCGCGCGGGCGCGGGCGCGGGCGCGGGCGCUCGUCGGCGGGGGCGGGAGCGCGGUGCCCGGCCGCGGAGGAGGCCCGGACCCACGGCAGGCACAGGCCCCGCGGGUGCUCCGGCGCUCCCGGCUCGCCCACCCCCGCCGGCCGCCUGGGCUUGGUGACGCGCCCGCGCCCCUCCCGGUGCCCCAGAAGUGCUCGCCUUCCCCCUGGGGCCGGCGCCUCCCGCGCCCCCACCCGCACGGUCCCGCGUUCUGCCCCCUGGCCCCGCCGCCCCCCGCACCUACCGGGCGGGGCCCGCGCUCCCCAGCAGGUGGCCCCGGGCCACGCGGCGUCCAGCGGGGCCGAGACGGAGGGAAGGCGGCUCAAACCCUCGGCCUCGCUUGUGCAAACAGUGUCCCUGCGCGCCCGCCCGCGCUGCCCCACCCGCGGCCCGCGUGCCCCAGCGGCUGACUGGGUGCUCGCGGCCCCACCCGGGCCCCUGGACGCGCUCCAGGCCCAGGCGUCGGCGCGGCCUGCUGCCCCAGGGGACCCCCCAGCCCGGGCACCCGGCCCCGAGCUGCCGCGUGUGGGGGCCAGGCCGCCGCCCCCCACCUGCAGCCCGCCGAGGCCGCCGCGCCCUCUCGGCCGCGGGACGCAGUGGUGUCAGCGGCCCGGGCCUGCUCCGCCGCGGGGCUCAAGGGCUCCUGCAAGCCCGGGCCUGCGGAGGCGGGAGGCCUCGGUCACAGGGACAGCCCCAGCAGGCCGAGUCAGCUCACCUCCCGGGUCGCCUCCCGACUCCCGGAGCUUACUCUACCCGCCCCGCCCCCGUUUGUUGACAUUAAAGUCAUUUAUCAGACACUCGGGCACUUGUCAGCACAGGCCACAAAGCUUUGUAGGGCAGAAUCAAGGAGGCGAAAGGCUGGAAAGAUGCAGGCUGCAAACAACAGACACGGGGGGAAAAAUGAAAGAACUCUGGAGAAAGGAAAGAAGUGCCACACAGUGGAAAAAAGUGGAAAACACAAGACUGGUCCAAAUCCCUGGGCCUUUUGAGAUGAAAAACAGGACAAGCACUAGGAUUUUCUUAUUCCAGUGCUAUCAAAAACAAAGGGGUUAUCUGUGGAGAGGAAACUCUGAUGGAAUAUUUGGAGAACCCAAAGAAACAUAUCCCUGGUCUUUGCUGGUCUUAAAAAGUGGAGUGAAAGAGAAGAUCCUACUCUAUAUUUGAAACAGGCAACAUCUUCAUAAAAUGCUCUUGCAACUUAAAAAAUAUUAGUUCUAAGUCAAAACUUUCUAAUUUCAAAUAUUGCAUGUUUAAAGAAGUCAUUUUUGAUCUUACUUGAUCAGCCUGUAAUAAGUUUAACAUUUAAAAAUAAGAGUUGAAAUUAACAAAAUAAAUAAAAAUAAUUUUUUUAAAAAAACCUUGUA
rnacentral:lncRNA from 12 species